UCCAGACUCCUACGGGAGGCAGCAGUGGGGAAUAUUGCACAAUGGGGGAAACCCUGAUGCAGCGACGCCGCGUGAGUGAAGAAGUAUUUCGGUAUGUAAAGCUCUAUCAGCAGGGAAGAAAAUGACGGUACCUGACUAAGAAGCCCCGGCUAACUACGUGCCAGCAGCCGCGGUAAUACGUAGGGGGCAAGCGUUAUCCGGAUUUACUGGGUGUAAAGGGAGCGUAGACGGUGAUGCAAGUCAGAAGUGAAAGCCCGGGGCUCAACUCCGGGACUGCUUUUGAAACUGUGUAACUGGAGUGCAGGAGAGGUAAGCGGAAUUCCUGGUGUAGCGGUGAAAUGCGUAGAUAUCAGGAGGAACACCGGCGGCGAAGGCGGCCUGCUGGACCGUAACUGACGUUGAGGCUCGAAAGCGUGGGGAGCAAACAGGAUUAGAUACCCCAGUA
rnacentral:rRNA from 1 species